UGGGGAAUAUUGGUCAAUGGACGCAAGUCUGAACCAGCCAUGCCGCGUGAAGGAUGAAGGUCCUCUGGAUUGUAAACUUCUUUUAUAGGGGACGAAACCCGGGAAUUCUUUCCCGAUUGACGGUACCCUAGGAAUAAGCACCGGCUAACUCCGUGCCAGCAGCCGCGGUAAUACGGAGGGUGCAAGCGUUAUCCGGAUUCACUGGGUUUAAAGGGUGCGUAGGAGGGCAGGGAAGUCAGUGGUGAAAUCUCCGGGCUUAACCCGGAAACUGCCGUUGAUACUCUCUGUCUUGAAUAUGGUGGAGGUGAGCGGAAUAUGUCAUGUAGCGGUGAAAUGCUUAGAUAUGACAUAGAACACCAAUUGCGAAGGCAGCUCGCUACACCUAUAUUGACUCUGAGGCACGAAAGCGUGGGGAUCAAACA
rnacentral:rRNA from 1 species